CUCCUCUUCUUCUCUCUGUUUUGUUUCUGAAAGGGGAAAAAAUGGUGGUUUGAUUGAAUCGAUAGAAUCAAUAGGAUAGUUGGUUGUAGUUGAUGAUUUAAUUGAAUCAAUUGAAGAUGAACGAAGAUAUAUCGUCCGUGACGUCGACUGGAAAGGAGAAAGGGAUAUCCAGUAAUAACAUUGUUAAGAGAAAAAUCAAGAUUAGAAAUAUACGAUGUUAUUGCAUUGAGAGUAAGAUUGAGCUUGUUUUCAAACAGUUAGAAAGAGAUAAGAUGCAUCUGAGAAUAUUAGAGCAAAUGGUUCAUAUGAAGAUCUGUUUGGAAGAUAUAGAUGAUCUUGUUUUUCUAUGGACAUCAGGACAUGGAGUUCCAUGGACACUAAAAAUGAUCAUGCCUUUUUUUGGUUUUGGGAGAAUGCUGUAGUAAAUAGUAAUGGUUUUAUUGAGUUGGCUGUCAAGGUUCAUAAUCUAGAUUGGGACAAGGAGGUCACACCUAAGAAAGCAGUAUCAAAGUCACCUCAAGUGAGAAGAAUCCUAAGAUUUGGAGGUGAUAAGAACAUAAGUGUAGGUGGUUCUACUGCUAGGAAGUUGUUUGGGCAGGGCAGUUCACAACCUACUCAAGAAAGUGUUGUUGGUGAUAACUUGAGAGGAAGAUCCAAUAGUACACCAGUUCAAGUAGAUGGAGAACCAGUUGAAGUUGAUGAUGAUUUUGAUCAAGAAUAUUGGUUAAAUAAGAUGAAAGAAAAUGAUGAGACUGUGAUUCAACUUGAGAACAAAGAAGUGGAUGAAUGCCAUCCUGUAGAAGAUCCUGAAGCUGCAACUUCUUAUAAUAGUGAUGAAGACAAUGAAGAUGCAAGUGAUGCUGAACAUGUUGGAGAUGAAAAUACAGAUGAAGAUAAUGAUGACUCAAGUGAUGAUGGUGUAUAAGUAAAUGACCAAGGUAAGGAGUGUGAAGAAGAUCAUGAGUAUUACAAGAAAUUCCAAGCCGAUAAUCAUGAGUUUGAGGAUGAACCUGGUGAGUUGUUUGAUGACUCAAACCUUGUUCAACCAUUGGAUCCAGAACAAAUGAUUGUAGGUACUGAGUUUCCUGAUAAAAAUGCAUUCCAAAGACAUUUAAAUCUUUUUUGUGUAUUAAAUGAAUGUGAGUAUAAAGAUUAAAAGAGUGACAGGGGAAGACUUAGGGUUUGGUUUGAAAAUAGGUUUAAUCAUAGAGGAGAUGUUGAGUGUGAGUGGUUUGUUUUUUCUUCAAAACUUAAAAAUCAAUCUACAUUUAAGGUAAGAGUGUGAACUUAACUCAUACUUGCAAGGGGAAGGUUGUUGCAGACAAGAUAAUGAAUAGGUCUGCAGAUCCUCAAUUAGUAGCUGAAGUUGUACAAAGCAAGUUGAGAUCUGGAAAUGUGAUUCCAAGACCAAGACAGAUUCAAGUAGAUUUCAAGGCUUCUCAUCUAAUUGAUAUUACUUAUCAUAUUGCAUGGAAGGCCAAGAACUUAGUAAUGGAAGCUAGAUGUGGGAGUUAUAAAGAGAGUUACGUUUAAUAAGAUGGUGUAUGACUCCAACAAGAAUUCAGUUGCUAGUUUCUCUUAUUGUGAGACUGACAUGGCAUUUGAGUCCAUGAAAAUAAGUUUUGCUGGAGCAAUCAAAGGAUGGCUUGAAGGGUGUAGAUCAGUUAUUGGGUUAGAUGCUUGUCAUCUAAAUGGUAAGUGUGGUGGUGUGUUGAUGGCUGCAACAGGGUUAGAUGGACAAAAUGGAUUAGUCACAUUAGGAAUUGGAGUUUUCCCUGCUGAAACAAUUGAGAAUUGGACUAUGUUCCUGACUGACUUGAAUCCAUUUCUCUUAGGCCAUGAAAAGCCAUUGACAUUCAUUUCGGAUAGGCAGAAAGGGCUACUUGAAGCUGUUCCUGCUGUGUUCCCAGACUCACACAAUAGAUAGUAUUGGAGGCACUUGUAUAACAACUUCAAGAAGCACUUUAAGGGACAAAAGUUGUAUAGAUUACUUUGGAAUGCAGCCAAAUGCUACAAGAAGAAACAUUUCUAUAAACAUAUGAGGAAAGAAAAUGCUGCUGUUGUGGUGUACCUUGAAGAGGUUGGUGUUGAGUCAUGGGAUAGAGCCUUUUUUGAUGACACUAGUAAGUGUGAACACCUAAAUAACAACUUGAGUGAGUCUUUUAAUUCCAUAGCCAAAAAUCUUAGGGACAAACCAGUAUGUAGACUAUGAAUUCUUUACAAUCAAUUGGUUAAGAGUAUAUUUCACAAAAGAAGAAAGGAGAGUGCACCUUGGAAUCCAGAUGAAUUGGUUCCAACUGCAAUGAAACUAAUUGGGAAGAUGAUGAAGUUGGUUGGUGCAUUUAAAGUUGAACCAUGUGUUAGUGGUAAAUUGUAUGAGGUUAUAAAUGAAGGUAGCAAGGAAGUUUUUAUUGUCAACUUGGAAGAAAAUACAUGUAGUUGUCUGCAAUGGCAACUCAGAGGUUUUGUUUGACAACAUGCAAUUUGUUGCUUGAAACCAUUCAUACCUGAUUGGACAAAGUACUGUUGUCAUUAUUAUUCAGUUGCUGCAUACAGGCCACAUAUGCUCCAGUUGUGUUUCCAUUUUCUGCUCAAGAAGAUUGUCCUGAGUUGGAAGAACAUGAAAGGAUUGAGCUGGAAUAUGCUAUCAAGAUCAGAAAAACAGGUAGGCCUAGAGUUAAGAGGAGGAGAGCAUGGGAUGAGCCUAAAUCACAGACAAAGGUAUAUUCAUGUCGAAACUGUGGUUCAACUAGUCAUAACAAAAGCACAUGUCCAGGUGGUGAUGUUGGCAAGAAUACUAAAGCAAAGAGGCAGAGAACUCAAGUAGAUGGUGCUACCUUUACAUUCAAUGAAAGACCUGUUGCAUCUACUUCUAAAGCUAAGAAAUCUCAACCAUAUUCUUCUAAAGCUGCAUCUUCUUCUAAAGCUUAUAAAUCUCAACCAUCUAAUAUUCCAAAGACACCUGAUAAAGCUUUUACAACUUCAAAGAAACAUAACAACACUCAUCCAAAGAAGUGAAUGGUUCCAGUAUAAUAAUGUGGUUUACAGUAGUUAGGGUUGUCUUUUUUUAGUGCUAUUUUGGUGCUGAAAACAUUGAACAUAUGCUGUAAUAUUUUGGAACAUAUUUUUAUAUAUAUAAUUAAGUACUUUUGUGAAAAUUUUAGACUUGCAAAAACUUGGGUUCAUAAUUUCUAUAAAUACAGGUUGAAGAGUAUUGAAUUGGGAAUAUGACAGUUGCAGAAACUUGACUUGGUGUUUUGAAUCGGCGGUUCAAGUGGAUUCAGCUCAACUCAGUUUGAAGGGUUUUCUAGACUUUUUUCGCUGCCACCUAAGCAUUAACGUCUGUAACUAACUAUUGCCGUUUUUUCCAGUUUUCUGAAAGAAAACGGUCAAGGGAAGGAUACUUUAAAAAAAAUUUAAAAAACGGGG